GGAGAAGAAUGGCAGUGAAAGGAAAAGAAUAACAGACAAGAGAGUGGGAAAGACUGAAAGACCUUUAAGAAGUCCAGUUUCUCUGCAAGUUUUGAAGUGUUCUGGCUGCUUCACAUCAUUAUUUGGAAUAAUCUAUCAGCUGACACUUAUUUUGAUCUCAUCCAUAUGAAAACAGCCAAAAAUACCUCAGGCACCUGCCUUGCCCAAGUUACCACUGUUUCUUUUUUAGGCUCUUUAAUUUUUCCUCUCAUUCUUCCACUUCUUGCUUAAUCUUUUAAAGGUAAUCUAUUCCAGUUUGCUAUCCAGUUUGACCUACAGGAAGAGCCUGCUGCUGUGGUGCCCCAGUAUGGGAUACAGUAAUGUCAAUGUGUUCUUUUAAUGGACAAAAUGUUCCCUACCACAUCUGAAUGCUGAUAUGUUAUUUAAAGCAGAAUAGCCCAGAUGAAAAGCUGCUUAGAGAAGCUGUACAAAAGAUCUGUUUGAUAAAAAGCCAAGUUUGAUGAAAAUUAAACAGAAGAACAGCUGUUGCCUGCUCGAAGUUGAACAUACAGAAUGAAACUUGUCCAAACGCUCUAAUGAGGGACCUCUGGAAAGAGUGUAUUGAGAAAAUACUUUGGAUCUGGAAAUGCAAAAGAAAAAAUACAAAGCUGGUUGUUUUUAAGCUUAAGCAUUUAAACACAAUCAAAUAUUUGACUGUAAACUGUUUGAUGACCUCUCUGAAAUUUUUCACAAACUCUCACUCUCCUUGAACAAUUCUGGCAAGAGUAGGACUGUUGCUCUAUAAGGCUGCAAGCCUGGAUGUGGUACAGAUAAGACAGUUACAGGAAAAUUUUCCCUAGGACUAUAUAUUGCAGCAGAAAUAUCUGGGAAUCAGCACUGAAAAUUACAGCAGAAAGAAUGAUUUGAGCAAAUACUGGUUAGAAUUUCUAUGGUAUUGUAACACUUCUCAGGAAAUGGAUUGGACAAUAGAUGAAGAAUAUUAUCAGAUCAUGCUCAGAUAUCUCAGUCAUGUAGCUCUGAUAUGGGGCACAGAAGUCAGGAUUUGCACAGAAAGAUGAAACUUCACACCGUGCAACCAUCUCUACCUCAGCUGGCUGGUCAAGCUCUGUUUAUAGUCAUUGGAGAUAAAUACAUACUCUGGAAAAACAAGCACUCCUUAAAGUCAGCAAGGAAAAGUAAGGACCUUCAGAAAAUGAUGAUCUCAUCUUACCUAGCAUUGGUGGUGGAUGAGUAUUUGUCUUCUUUCACUAUUGCAAGACUUUGUUUCUCUAAGAGUCAAGAGGUACCUUAGCUGACUGAGGUAGUUGCCUGGUUAGAUAACUAGUAAACCCUAUUCAAUCGUUGGUAGGAUUGUAUUAAUAAAUGGGUGCAGUACAUCUUAUUUGCUUUCCAAGCAUAUAAGCACUUUCAAAUAUUUAUGCUGUAUUCAAAUGAAAAUGUGCCAUACCAUACCACAGUUUUAGAAAUACUGGCAUCAUUUAAGUUCUCCAGCACUUGAAACACUUUCAAAGCCUUCCUGCACCUGUUUUUCCAGAUUGGUCUCCAAAGAUUAUGCAGUUUCUCUUAUACUCUAAUCUUUUCUCUUCAUCUCUCCAGAGUUAUUCUGACAGUAACGUUAGAGUGUAGUGUAAUUGCCACCUAACCAACGUUAUAUUGAGCCCAGGUUUUGAAAUGUUAAUACUGUUUCAUGCCAAUGAGUAAUAACCAGUAACAAGGUAGUGUCUGUAACUCAGGAAGAAUGAAAUUAUUUUGUGGUCAGAACAGCAAUUACAAGUCUUUACACUUAAGCAUUUUCAAAUUGGCAAUGGUUGCAACUUUUGAAAAACUCCAGAGGAGACAAAAGCAAAGCAUAGUGAAACAACCCCUGAAGUGUCUUCUUCAUAAAAGAGAAAUCAAAAUAACUUCUUUGCAUCUCAGUACUCUAGGUGAUUAUUAGUAACAUAGCUGAUGAAAGCAGUCCUCACAGAAGUUAAUUAAGCUCCUGUAAAAUGCAUUCUGUUGAAUGUUAAAUGAACCUGAAGGGAUUCUUUGGUUAUCUGUGAAGAAACCUGAAUUCAUUUUCAUCCCUGGUUUCAUGAUUUCUGGUCCAGAAGCCAUAGAGUACAGAAGAGAGCGGUAGACUCAGGCACAGGUGAAUGAGGGAAUUCAGUAGUCAAACUGAAAGUGGGAGCUGCUCCAGAUGUGAUGCUGACAUAGUCUCAGUUGUAGUCCAUUUACUUAAAAAAUGCUCAGCCUUGUUGCUGAUACUUUGUGGGUGCAAACCUGCUAUGUACAUUUCCAAGUUGAAAUGAUAAAAAAACUGUGUGGCAACUUUCAUCAGCGUACUCCAGUGCUCACUUUCUCUCCUAGUAAAGUCAAGUCCCACUAAUUAUUUGGAGCUAUUUCUUGAAGGAGCUGAGAGCUCCUCAAUCCCUUGAGCAGCAGGUAAAACAUACUGACAGGAACAGGAAAACCCACCUGAUCAACACAUGGCUAAGAGACUGGUGCCAUCAGUGGAACUAAUCUUUUUUAAGUCAUGGAGCAGUUUGUAGAGCGCCAGACUUGCUGGCAACAGAUAGGGUUCACCUAUCCCAAAGGAGGAAAAGGAUUCUAGCCCAGUAAUUGGCAGGGUUCAUUGAGAGGGCUUUAAACCAGCUUUGAAGGUGCUAGGGGAUAGAACCAGGCUCUCUAGAAAUGAGCCAAAGGGUAGCAUGCCAAAGCUGGGGAUGAGACCAAUAGCCCAACUGAUGCGCGUCUAUACCAGUGCAUGGACAACAAAAAGCAGGAGCUAGAAACCACUGUGCAACAGGAACACUAUGACAUAGCCACCUUCACCAAAACAUGGUGGGAUCAUUCUCUUGACCAGAGUGCUGCAAUGGAGGGCUAUAAGCUCUUUAGAAGGGGUAGGCAAGGAAGAAUAGGCAUUGGGGUGGCUCUCUAUGUUAGGGAGUGUUUUGAUUCUGUAGAGCUCAGUGCUGAGAAUGAGAAGGUCAGGUUCUUAUGGGUAAAGAUCAGGGGGAAGGCCAACAAGGUGGGAGUGUGCUAUAGACCACUAAACCAGGAUGAGGAGGCAGAUGAAGCAUUCAACAAGCAGCUGGCAGAGGUCAUACAACUGUCAGUCCUUGUUCUCAUUGGGGACAUCAACUUACCAGACAUUUGCAGGAAAUAAAAUACAGCAGAGGGGAAACGAUCUAGGAGGUUCUUGGAGUGUGUGGAAGAUAACUUCCUGACAUAGUUACUAAGGGAGGCACCCCACUAGAUCUGCUGUUCACAGAGGACGGGUGGGAGAUGUGGUGGUCAGGAGCUGUCCUGGGCAUAGAAUUUUCCAUUCUUGGUAAAGUCAAGAGAGGGGGGAACUAAAACUGCUACCUUGGACUUCUGGAGGGCAAACUUCAGACAAUUUAGAACAUUGGCUGGAAGAGUCCCUUGGGACACAGUCCUGAAGAGCAAAGGAGACAAGGAAGACUGGACAUUCCUCCAGAAGGAUAUCUUGAUGCUCUGAUUCUAUAAUGUUUGGAUAUGUCAAAAUACAGUGACUUUGUGUAAGAGGGAGUAGGGAAGAGAGAAAAAAACAGCAAAUAUCUUAUUUUCAUAUGUUGCCAAAAGAGGACAAUUUUUCUUUGAAUUUGAAAUGAGGCCCCUGUCUGUCUAUUUGGAAAAUGUAUCUAAUGCCCAUUUCCUUUAGAAUGAGGCAUGGGAAGGAGCCUGUAUGAUUGCAUAUUUGCCUACAUAAGGUUUCUGCCUUGAGUAGAAUUAUGAAAAGAAGGCUAUGUCUGACUCCUAAGCAAAUCAUGACUUUUUAUUUGCCUUAGGAAUUGCCAGAAUGGUUUCUUCAUCUCCCAAAUUCAUCAAUGCUGAACAUGAACUCUGUAGAUUAAGCAGGUUUUGAUUUGCUUGUUGAGGCACAGAAGCCUCCAAAAUGUAGAAGCAUGCACUGAAAUUCAGCUUUCUUCAGUAUUAGACUCUGAAUUAAUUUCUGUUGAGACUUGCCACAGAAAGCCAUUAUAUGCUUUUGGUAUUUAGCUCUGAAAUCACCUUUUCUCCCAUGAUGUGAUAUACUACAGGCUUUAGAUGGCGCAAUGUGAAAGAACUCUGGUCAGUUUCAAACAUACAGGCUUUUUUUCAUGGUUGCCUGGACACUCAAUGAAAAAAACUGUGUGUCCUUUACUGAUCUUACCUGAGAAGAUAAAAGAUUUUCAGCAGUCAGUGAACUUUAGGCAAGUUAAGAAGAAUCUGUAACCUUCAGUGGAAGAGGGAAAAAAAAGAAUUGUCAUUUCUAUUUGGUGCUAUGUUUCUUCUUCCAAAGAGUACUCAGAGAGGAACUGGUCAACAUCUUUUUUUUUUGACAGAUUUAGCAUGAAAGAUAGGUUUUCCGUGGCCCAGAUCGUAUCUGAGCAGUCAGGUGCCUGAGUUUUCUUUCCUGUGUUCUGUUAAUUCUUGUUCUAGUUGCACAGUCAUCACAAACAAAGGGUUAUUUUCAAAUUCUGCCUUCCUCUCAUAAGUAUUUCCUUGGUGAGGUAGCCCCAAGGUAUGUCACAAUGAGUGUGAUAUUAUGUGUUAUAAGGCUUCUGUACUGCAAAAGAUUUUUCAAGAAGGAAAUUCAAUAUGUUCUCUUUUAAGAAAGUGCAUCCAAUUUCCCAAAUAAAAUCCUGACCAUCCUGACGUCAGUUUUGGUACUCGCUGCAGUACAGCUAUGAUUUCACCUUUCAUGCGGGAAGCUUGUUGAGUUGAUUACCAACCUCUGAAGAGUACAAUCAUACCAUGUUCAGAAACAGAACCACUUGCUAGUGGCAAUUGUUCUUGCAUGGAGGAUUUAGGAUGUUUUAGUAUUAUUUUUGUUUGUUUAUUAUUAUUUAUUAAAAUCAGAAUGAAUGAGUUUUUCCAGGAGAGGUGGGUAUCCUGAUUGUUAAUAGAAAGUCAUUUUUUCUAAGAAACACUCUUAACGUUUCUGCACCAUGUUGAAUUCUUACCCAUCCAUUCUGCAUCUUCGCAAUUUUCAAUCAGAAAAUGAAUAAAAUUUCCUAAGAAAAAGAAAAUAAAGUACCUAAACGCAGGAAGAAAUUUACAGGAGAACAUUCUGUAUCAAAAUAUAAGGCUGUAAUCCUUUAUAAACAAUCUUACAUCCAUUUUUGAGCAUGUAUCACUGUAAACAGAAUCCUGGAAAUAAGAAAUAGUCUGAUUGUCAGACUGUGCAGACUAUUGACAGUAUGGGGAACGAUUAGAAUCCCUCAAACUGUAUGUAUUUACUUCUUGAAUUAUGUAAUUUGUUAACCCGCAGUGGUGAAUAGAAAGUCUCCUUUACGCUAGCUGGAGGUAACUCAAAGCUUAUGCUGCUUUCUCUAGAUAGCAGCCAUGAGCUUCUGAAAUUGUUCCUGUCUAAAAAAAACCCUUAUAAAUUUAAAGACAGUUUUAAAACAAAAAUGCCAACAUACAGCAAGAAUAGAUAGACACUCAGUUAGAUAGAUCAGUGGAUGCACAGCAAGUUACUUAUAUAGAUGUGUUAACUCAGCAAAGACUUAAUUCUGCACAUGCCUUUAUAUGCUAUGGCUGACAGACAGCACAUGAAGAUGACAGUCUAGAUUACAAGCAAUCUACGCUGAAAUUAUCUCACUAGCAGGAAAAGUAGAUACCUGUAAAAAUGUGAUAUGGACUAGCAAACUACAAGCUGUCCGUGGGCACUGAACAUGACAUACUUUCAUCCUUAAUUCUUUUGGUGACUGUAUUACUGCCUUCCUCUGUUAUCUAGCAUAAAGAAAACACAAGUAUGUCCACCCUACACUGUGACAAAUAGCUUCUCUUUCAUGUGUCAAAGUUAUGGACAAAAUUGUUUGGCUGAACGUGUUCUUGCAUUGCAUUGAAGGGAACCAGAGGCAGAAGGAUCUGCCCCACUCUGGCAGCAGACCUCAGCUCAAGGUAUGUAUUAUGGGAAAGUGAACCACUUGUAAAUUACAUUACAUGCUUGAACUCAAACUUCAACAUUUCUGCUAAAUUUAAUGUAUGAAGUAAAAGAAUUUGUACAAAAUUAAAAAUAAACUCUCCUUAAGCUUGGCC
ensembl:lncRNA